rnacentral:rRNA from 1 species
UUAUAAGAGACAGCAGUCGCCACGGGAAUACGAAGGGUGCAAGCGUUAAUCGGAAUUACUGGGCGUAAAGCGUGCGCAGGCGGUUUGUUAAGACAGAUGUGAGAUCCCCGGGCUCAACCUGGGAACUGCAUUUGUGACUGGCAAGCUAGAGUGUGGCAGAGGGGGGUGGAAUUCCGCGUGUAGCAGUGAAAUGCGUAGAUAUGCGGAGGAACACCGAUAGCGAAGGCAGCCCCCUGGGCCAACACUGACGCUCAUGCACGAAAGCGUGGGGAGCAAACAGGAUUAGAUACCCCUGUAGUCCCUGUCUCUUAUAU